AAGCGUGCGCAGGCGGUUAUAUAAGACAGAUGUGAAAUCCCCGGGCUCAACCUGGGAACUGCAUUUGUGACUGUAUAGCUGGAGUGCGGCAGAGGGGGAUGGAAUUCCGCGUGUAGCAGUGAAAUGCGUAGAUAUGCGGAGGAACACCGAUGGCGAAGGCAAUCCCCUGGGCCUGCACUGACGCUCAUGCACGAAAGCGUGGGGAGCAAACAGGAUUAGAUACCCCUGGU
rnacentral:rRNA from 1 species